rnacentral:rRNA from 1 species
AUGAACGCUGGCGGCGUGCCUAAUCCAUGCAAGUCGCGCGAACAGACGAGGAGCUUGCUCCUCUGACGUUAGCGGCGGACGGGUGAGUAACACGUGGAUAACCUACCUAUAAGACUGGGAUAACUUCGGGAAACCGGAGCUAAUACCGGAUAAUAUAUUGAACCGCAUGGUUCAAUAGUGAAAGACGGUUUUGCUGUCACUUAUAGAUGGAUCCGCGUCGCAUUAGCUAGUUGGUAAGGUAACGGCUUACCAAGGCAACGAUGCGUAGCCGACCUGAGAGGGUGAUCGGCCACACUGGAACUGAGACACGGUCCAGACUCCUACGGGAGGCAGCAGUAGGGAAUCUUCCGCAAUGGGCGAAAGCCUGACGGAGCAACGCCGCGUGAGUGAUGAAGGUCUUCGGAUCGUAAAACUCUGUUAUUAGGGAAGAACAAAUGUGUAAGUAACUAUGCACGUCUUGACGGUACCUAAUCAGAAAGCCACGGCUAACUACGUG